rnacentral:rRNA from 1 species
AUACCUUAGUAACGGCGAGUGAAGCGGUAAAAGCUCAAAUUUGAAAUCUGGUACUUUCAGUGCCCGAGUUGUAAUUUGUAGAAUUUGUCUUUGAUUAGGUCCUUGUCUAUGUUCCUUGGAACAGGACGUCAUAGAGGGUGAGAAUCCCGUUUGGCGAGGAUACCUUUUCUCUGUAAGACUUUUUCGAAGAGUCGAGUUGUUUGGGAAUGCAGCUCAAAGUGGGUGGUAAAUUCCAUCUAAAGCUAAAUAUUGGCGAGAGACCGAUAGCGAACAAGUACAGUGAUGGAAAGAUGAAAAGAACUUUGAAAAGAGAGUGAAAAAGUACGUGAAAUUGUUGAAAGGGAAGGGCAUUUGAUCAGACAUGGUGUUUUUUGCAUGCACUCGCCUCUCGUGGGCUUGGGCCUCUCAAAAAUUUCACUGGGCCAACAUCAAUUCUGGCAGCAGGAUAAAUCAUUAAGAAUGUAGCUACUUCGGUAGUGUUAUAGCUUUUUGGAAUACUGUUAGCCGGGAUUGAGGACUGCGCUUCGGCAAGGAUGUUGGCAUAAUGGUUAAAUGCCGCCCGUCUUGAAACAGGGAUCUGCAAAA